rnacentral:rRNA from 1 species
GUUAGCGGCGGACGGGUGAGUAACACGUGGGUAACCUACCUAUAAGACUGGGAUAACUUCGGGAAACCGGAGCUAAUACCGGAUAACAUUUGGAACCGCAUGGUUCUAAAGUGAAAGAUGGUUUUGCUAUCACUUAUAGAUGGACCCGCGCCGUAUUAGCUAGUUGGUAAGGUAACGGCUUACCAAGGCGACGAUACGUAGCCGACCUGAGAGGGUGAUCGGCCACACUGGAACUGAGACACGGUCCAGACUCCUACGGGAGGCAGCAGUAGGGAAUCUUCCGCAAUGGGCGAAAGCCUGACGGAGCAACGCCGCGUGAGUGAUGAAGGGUUUCGGCUCGUAAAACUCUGUUAUUAGGGAAGAACAAACGUGUAAGUAACUGUGCAUGUCUUGACGGUACCUAAUCAGAAAGCCACGGCUAACUACGUGCCAGCAGCCGCGGUAAUACGUAGGUGGCAAGCGUUAUCCGGAAUUAUUGGGCGUAAAGCGCGCGUAGGCGGUUUCUUAAGUCUGAUGUGAAAGCCCACGGCUCAACCGUGGAGGGUCAUUGGAAACUGGGAAACUUGAGUGCAGAAGAGGAAAGUGGAAUUCCAUGUGUAGCGGUGAAAUGCGCAGAGAUAUGGAGGAACACCAGUGGCGAAGGCGACUUUCUGGUCUGUAACUGACGCUGAUGUGCGAAAGCGUGGGGAUCAAACAGGAUUAGAUACCCUGGUAGUCCACGCCGUAAACGAUGAGUGCUAAGUGUUAGG